rnacentral:rRNA from 1 species
GGGUUUGGGUAGGGGAGCGUCCUGUGCGAGGUGAAGCUGCCGGGUGACCGUGUGGUGGAUUGUGCGGGAGUGAGAAUGCAGGCAUGAGUAGCGAAUGACGGGUGGAAAACCCGUCCGCCGAUUAUCCAAGGGUUCCAGGGUCAAGUUAAUCUGCCCUGGGUGAGUCGGGACCUAAGGCGAGGCCGACAGGCGUAGUCGAUGGACAACCAGUUGAUAUUCUGGUACCGGCUUGUCACCGUCCGUGUCGAGGUGUGUGAUGCUAAGCGUGCGAGCCUGCCAUUGUGAUGUCUUUGAUGUUGUGGUGGUGUGGUGAGUGUGUGAACCGAUCAUGUAGUAGGCAAGCUGCGGAGGGACGCAGGGAGGUAGCUCAUCCCCGGCGAUGGUUGUCCGGGGCUAAAUGUGUGGACCGUCUGGUAGGUAAAUCCGCCAGGGUUGUGGUUGAGGCAUGAUGGCGAGCCCACGGAAAGUGGGUGAGUGAGUGAUCCUGUACUGUCGAGAAAAUCUUCGUGAGCGAGGUGGCUGGUCCGCCCGUACCCUAAACCGACACUGGUGGAUAGGUAGAGUAUACCGAGGCGAUCGAGAUCAUCAUGGUGAAGGAACUCGGCAAAAUGCCCCCGUAACUUCGGGAUAAGGGGGACCUGAACUGUCAAGGCCUGUACGGCUGGUAGCGGUGAGGGGCGCAGAGACCAGGGGGAAACGACUGUUUACCAAAAACACAGGUCCGUGCGAAGUCGUAAGACGAUGUAUACGGACUGACUCCUGCCCGGUGCUGGAAGGUUAAGGGGAACUGUUAGCGUUGGCGAAGCGGUGAACUUAAGCCCCAGUAAACGGCGGUGGUAACUAUAACCAUCCUAAGGUAGCGAAAUUCCUUGUCGGGUAAGUUCCGACCUGCACGAAUGGAGUAACGAUUUCCCUACUGUCUCCACCAUGAACUCGGUGAAAUUGCAGUACGAGUAAAGAUGCUCGUUACGCGCAGCAGGACGGAAAGACCCCGGGACCUUUACUAUAGUUUGGUAUUGGUGAUUGGGACGACUUGUGUAGGAUAGGUGGGAGACUGUGAAGCGGCCACGCCAGUGGUUGUGGAGUCAUUGUUGAAAUACCACUCUGGUCGUUCUGGUUAUCUAACUUUGGGCCGUGAUCCGGUUCAGGGACAGUGCCUGAUGGGUAGUUUGACUGGGGCGGUCGCCUCCUAAAAGGUAACGGAGGCGCCCAAAGGUUCCCUCAUCCUGGUUGGUAAUCAGGUGUCGAGUGUAAGUGCACAAGGGGGCUUGACUGUGAGACUGACAGGUCGAGCAGGGACGAAAGUCGGGACUAGUGAUCUGACGGUGGCUUGUGGACGCGCCGUCACUCAACGGAUAAAAGGUACCCCGGGGAUAACAGGCUGAUCUUGCCCGAGCGCUCAUAGCGACGGCAUGGUUUGGCACCUCGAUGUCGGCUCGUCGCAUCCUGGGGCUGGAGUCGGUCCCAAGGGUUGGGCUGUUCGCCCAUUAAAGCGGCACGCGAGCUGGGUUCAGAACGUCGUGAGACAGUUCGGUCCCUAUCCGCUGCGCGCGGAGGAAUCUUGAGAAGGGCUGUCCUUAGUACGAGAGGACCGGGACGGACUGACCUCUGGUGUGCCAGUUGUUCUGCCAAGGGCAUGGCUGGUUGGCUACGUCGGGUUGUGAUAACCGCUGAAAGCAUCUAAGCGGGAAGCACGCUUCAAGAUGAGGGUUCCUGCAGAUGAAUCUGGUAAGGUCUCCGGUAGACGACCGGGUUGAUAGGCCAGGCGUGGACGCAUCGUAAGGUGUGGAGCUGACUGGUACUAAUAGGCCGAGGACUUACACAA